UCUCCUCUCGGCGUCUCCCCAUUGAAUUUCUGCUUGUCCCUCGUCCCACCCCUGAUCCCCGCCCCCUUUUGGUCUCUCCGCCUUUCACUAGGACCCGCCCCCUCGGAUUCCAGGCUGGCAGAACCCGUGCCAGGCUCCCUUCCCCUGCUAGCCCCCUCCCAUCCCAUCUCGGAGCCUCUCCUCCCCCUCUCCCCUUCUCCCGCUUGCCUCACGCUGGAGCUGGCUCUCCAGCCCGGAACCGCUGGCUCUGAUUGGCUGCGGCGGCCCCAAUGGAUGGCGGAGGAGACAAAGUGAUGGUUGCAGGUCGCCUGAGGUCCCACCCCGGCCACGUGCGGCUGCUGUGAUGACAGGUCUAGAGGGGCGGGACCUCGGCCCGCAGUCGGCGGCCUAGGCUGACCGGAUCCGGCCAGAGGUGGGGAGCCAGAACCAGCGCCAAAGCGUCAGCCUGCGGGCGCCAAGCCUGAGUGGGGCCCUCCUAGGCUUUCGAGCUGGUGUGAGCUGCCUGCGAAACUUGAACCUCUUAGUGAAGCCGUCUGCGUUAGCGCGCUUAUUUGCCCUAAUGGGGGAGGUCUGUGGGGUUUGCAAAGUAGUGCCAUGAGUCUCAGGAUUCUGUGAAAAUGCGGGAAUCUGAUUGGCGGGGUCUCAAGACUGUGAGGAUGAGCAGUUUCCGCAGCCUACGCUUUGCGGGAGAUUCUGAAUUUUGAGAGACUGGCAGUACGAGUCAGAUCUGUACCUGUGGAGGUAGGUCAGCAAGAAGUCUGUGAAUUUAUGAGCCUAAGUAUUAAUACGGAGUUAUGGGAGCCUGCAAUCGCCGGAGAAAAGAAGAGUCUUUGCUUUGUACAAGUGUCGAUUGAACUAUGUGACAGUUACAUAUAUUGUGUAUUUUAAUUAGCGCUUGAAUCUUCUCUCCAACUACCCCCAGCCCCACGGGUUCCCGAGAUACAGCAGGGGAAGUCGACGCUUUACGAGCUACCGGUAGAUGGCAGCACAGGACCCUUGCAGAACUCAGUGGCUCUGAGCUCGGGGCCUGGCGGGCUUCUCUCUGGAGCCAGCGGUAUUGAUGGCUGUGUGAUGGACUGGACAUGUUAAAGUUCUCUCAAAGUCUCAGAUUCUUUAGAUCUCUGUGACUUUCUUUCUGCUGCCUUAUGUUGCAGAAAAAUGGAGAACAAGAGAAUGGUCAUGUCCCAGGUCUCAGGUGAGUUCUCAGGUGAGGGCCACCAAGUGAGGGUCCUUGGCUUUGCUCAGGAAAGAAUUCAAGAGUGAGCCAUGGUAUCAUCUCACAACGGUCAGAAUGGCCAUCAUCAAAAGAUCUACAAACAAUAAAUGCUGGAGAGAGUGUGGAGAAAAGGGACUCUUGCACUGUUGGUGGGAAUGUAAAUUGAUACAGCUGCUAUGGAGAACAGUAUGGAGGUUCCUUAAAAAACUAAAAAUAGAACUACCAUACGACCCAGCAAUCCCACUACUGGGCAUAUACCCUGAGAAAACCAUAAUUCAAAAAGAGUCAUGUACCAAAAUGUUCAUUGCAGCUCUAUUUACAAUAGCCAGGACAUGGAAGCAACCUAAGUGUCCAUCAACAGAUGAAUGGAUAAAGAAGGUGUGGCACAUAUAUACAAUGGAAUAUUACUCAGCCAUAAAAAGGCACGAAACUGCGUUAUUUGUAGUGAGGUGGAUGGACCUAGAGACUGUCAUACAGAGUGAAGUAAGUCAUAAAGAGAAAAACAAAUACCGUAUGCUAACACAUAUAUAUGGAAUAUAAAAAAAAAAAGAAAAAAAUCGUCAGAAGAACCUAGGGGCAAGACGGGAAUAAAGAUGCAGACCUACUAUAGAAUGGCCUUGAGGAUACGGGGAGGGGGAAAGGUAAGCUGGGACAAAGCGAGAGAGUGGCAUGGACAUAUAUACACUACUAAAUGUAAAAUAGAUAGCUAGUGGGAAGCACCCGCAUAGCAGAGGGAGAUCAGCUCGGUGCUUUGUGACCACCUAGAGGGGUGGGAUAGGGAGGGUGGGAGGGAGGGAGAUGCAAGAGGGAAGAAAUAUGGGGACAUAUGUAUAUGUAUAACUGAUUCACUUUGUUAUAAAGCAGAAACUGACACAGCAUUGUAAAGCAAUUAUACUCUAAUAAAGAUGUUAAAAAAAAAAAAGUGAGCCAUGGGAAUUCCCUCGUGGUCCAGUGGUUAGGACUCCACGCUUCCAAUGCAAGGGGCACGGGUUCGAUCCCUGGUCAGGGAACUAAGAUCCCAUGUGCCGCACUUGGAGCAACCAAAAAAAAAAAGAGUGAGCCAUAGUAAAGUGAAAGUGGGUUUAUUUGGAGAUACACGUUCCAUAGGCAGAAUGUGGUCCCUCUCAGAAGGUGAGGGAGGCCCAGGGCUGUGGGCGUGGUUAGCUUUUAUGGGCUGGGUAAUUGCAUAAGCUAAUGAGCGGGAGGAUUAUUCCAAUUAUUUGGGGAAAGAGGUGGGGAUUUCCAGGAAUUGGGCCACUGCCUACUUUAUGGCCUUUUAUGGUCAGCCUCAGAACUGUCAUGCCUAUAAAAAAAAAAAAAAGGGACUUCCCUGGUGGGCUGUGGUUAAGAAUCUGCCUGCCAAUGCAGGGGACACAGGUUCGAGCCCUGGUCCGGGAAGAUCCCACACGCCACGGAGCAACUAAGCCAUGUGCGCCACAACUACUGAGCCUGCGCUCUAGAGCCAGUGAGACACAACUACUGAGCCCACCUGCCAUAACUACUGAAGACCGUGCACCGCAACAAAGAGAAGCCACCACAACGAGAAGCCUGCACACCACAACGAAGAGUAGCCCCCACUUGCUGCAACUAGAGAAAGCCCGCGCACAGCAACGAAGACCCAACACAGCCAAAAACAAACAAACAAACAAAUAAAUAAAUAAAUUUAUUUAAAAAAAAGAACUGUCAUGGCACGGGUGGGUGUGUCAUUUAGCAUGCUAGUAUAUUAGAAUGAGUGUAUAAUGAGGCUCAAGAUCUACUGGAAGUCAAAUCUUCCACCAUCUUGGGCCUAGUUGGUUCUAACUAAUUUUUUUUGUAUCCUCAAUGGCUGUGUCAUUCUUUUAAUGGUUGUGCCCUGCCCCCUUCCCUCCUGGGUCACUUACAUGCAUGUAAUCUGUUAGUGCUUACUAAAUAAUAAAGUAUGUUCUUUUUCUA